rnacentral:lncRNA from 1 species
CGUCUGCGAAACCGCAGACUGUGACUCUGGUCAGCUCAUGUGCAACGGUAAGACUGGCAUUCCGCCGGCAACUUUAGCGGAAUUCACUAUUGCAGCAGGCGGAGGACAAGAUUUCUACGAUGUUAGUCUUGUUGAUGGCUUCAACUUGCCCAUGUCUGUGACUCCACAAGGCGGUACCGGCACCUGCAAGACGGGUAGUUGCGCGGCGAAUGUGAACGCAGUUUGUCCGACUGACCUGCAAAAGAUAGGGUCCGAUGGGAGCGUGGUUGCCUGCUUGAGCGCAUGUGUUAAAUUCGGUGACCCACAGUACUGUUGCACUCCGCCUCAAGAAACUAAAGAGAAAUGCCCACCAACAAAUUACUCUCAGAUAUUCCAUGACCAAUGCCCCGACGCUUACAGCUAUGCUUAUGAUGACAACAAGGGUUUAUUUACGUGCAGUGGUGGACCUAACUACCUCAUUACUUUCUGCCCAUGAUGAGCAUACAUAUAUAUAUGAACUAUAGAAAGGACAAGGUCUUUAAUAAAGAUAGGACUCUCAUGCAAUGUGUCGAUAAUUAGUCCGGCUCUAUAUUAAACGUUUGAUCUUUAAUAAAGGUUAGACUCUCGACAUGUAAUUGGUAACGUAUCGAUUAUUAUAGUCUGGCUAUGUAUCAAGCACUUGAUCUUCAAUGAAGAUAGAAUUGUCUACAUGUAAUUGAUAAUGUGUCGAUAUUAUUAUCGUCAAUAAUAAACAUUUUGAUAUGUUAACAAUAUACUUUUGCCAAACUUCAAUAAAAUAUAUAUGCGAAUAUUGAUAGUCCGGUAUUUAAUUAAAGAUAGAAUUAAUGUCAUGCACAAAGAAUUUUUGGAAAAUAUAUUGCACACAAAAUUUGUGUGAAAUAUAUAUUACCCCUCUUUCAUUAUGUUACAAUAACAGAAAAUUAUGAAUGAUUUUAUGUGAACAAAUGGUGUCCAGAUGAUGCAAUUAGGUUCAGUAGCAAAUGGUAAGUACAAUAACAUGUCAAAAUGGAUAAAAGCAUCAACUUCAAAUAAAUCUACAUUUUAAAUCGCAUGUCAUGUCAUGUAAUCUUCAAAUGUGAUUCAAAAAUUUGAUCUCCGUAAACUUAUUGAGAAUAAAUUGCAAUUAAUGUUGGAAAAAUUACCUCACCUAAGGACACUAGGCUUGGGAAAGCGACUGGUCGCCAAACUUCAAGCGACCGGUCGCAGAUGAAUCUGCCUAAAAACGACCCGUCACCAGGCAUCAAGUGACCGAUCACUGGAGACUCUGCCAAAAUGCGACCAGUCGAACUGUCUAGGAGACCGGUCGCUUCAGUCGUGUUGUUUUCGUUUUCCACGUGUUUUGAAGUCCUCUUUUCAUGUGCUAUUGCUUUCCACUUCAUUGCAAGGACUUUUUGGGUCACUUCAGAGUUAAAUGAAGGUUGGCAAGCUGCUGGAAAGCUGAGAUAGCAUUUUUGGUAUGUUGUUGACGUGUUUCAAUGAGUACCUACUCUUUGGCUCUAGAAAGGGUGGCUGAUGUGAAGGCAUAGGAUGGCUGGUGUGCAGGCAUUAAUGAUUUGCCUAAGCUAUGGUUUAUGAUGGGUGACUAAAGCCAUAAAUUGUUAAUGUAUAUAUUUUAAGUUUUUCUUUUGGCUUCCUUGACAACUUUGUAAUAAGAUUUCUAUUUUUAUUUAUCAAGCUCAAGUUUAGAUUGAGAAUACCUUCUCUAGGUAUUCUUAACUAACAACAAUCCUAUGGAGGUUCAAGCAAAUUGACAAAGGUAAAUUGUGCAUUGCAUAACAUUGCAUUAAACUGUUUUCAUAAAAUGAUGACUAGUCAUCUGUUUCUUGUAUGACUAGUCAUCCUUGCUCUGUAGGAUUUCCAGUUGGAUAACCAACUUUUUUGUCCUAUUCUCUUUUCUCUCUCUACUGCCAUGUGUGAUUCUGACCUAAGGGAAUUUUUGUCUGUAAAGGCUAAGGAAUUCCUCUUUGGGCAAUCGUCUCUUUUGGGUGGAAGUUUUGAAAAGUUUAGCUUGCCAUCUUUCGCUUCUACUUCCUCAAGAGAGAACCAUCUUAUUUUCAUCUAUGAGUUUUUUCAAAUUGAUUUCUUUUUGAAAAACUGCAUUUGAAAUACUAAUCUGCAUCUAGCUACUUAAAACACUCUCUCAUUUAUAUCCAGGUCAGAUUCAAGAUUGAUUUCUUCAAGAGUAUGGUUUCUUGAAGAAAUUGGUCAUUCUUAUUUGAAUCCAAAUUUUUGUUUCUGUUUGAGUUAGAGCUUGCAAGCUAGUGCCAUGGGAUGAACGAGCUGGAGAAGGAGCUGUUAUUGCCAUGAAGAACUGAGCUUCAAGCUUUGCUAAGUUGGAGAAGAAGAUUGCACAAAGGAGGUAUAGCUCAUCUUCCUAAAUAGAUCUAGUUUUUCCUUAAGCUUGCUUGUGUUCCUUUGUAAGAAUAUUUUUUUACUUAGUGGAUUGCCUGGUCGGUUGAUGACCCCCAGUUUUUUCAAAUUGUGGGUUUCUGGGUGAACAAUUUCUGUUUGCAUCUCUGUAAUUUUUCUGAGUUUGUGUUCUUGGUGGUUGACCAGUCAUCGUAUGAAUUAUGGUUGACUAGUCAUCAUAUGAAUUAUGAGUUUGUGUUCUUAGUGGUUGACUAGUAAUCGUAUGAAUUCUGGGUUUGUAUCCUUGUAGUUGACUAGUCAUCAUUAUCUGCUGUUUGGAGUUUGCUUGAUUAUGUUGUCUUCACACACUUUCACCAUAGUUGUUGCUAGCACAAGGGAUGCCUAGAUUGACGGAUCCUUCUGAGUGCCUAGAUUGUCACUAGUAAUUCUCUAGGCUUGCAGGUACAUCUUGGUAUGCUCUGUGUAUGUUAUUAUUUGGUUUAAUUCAUAUCUGACAGUUGACUAGUCAUAAGAGUAUUUGGUCAAGGUCUAGAGUGUGUGAAGUUCGUUGCGUUCUUGGUUGAAUAUCUUUUAAGUUUACCCAUCGUCACCUAAGUACCAAUUGGUAUCAGAGCACUAGCUCUUAACAUAAAUAGAGAGAUCCUUUGGGUGCUAAUUGGUAUUAGGUGUGCAAACAUAAAAAUGGAUCAAAUUGCUCCUUGCAUUCAUGAUGAGCUUGCCUUGUUUGUUAAGAAUUAUAGAAGGGUUGUCAAAGAUAAAACCAAAGUAAUUAGGAAUUGUCAGAAUCUUCCUAGUUCGUCUACAUGUGUGUCUCAAGACAAUGUUUUUAAGGAGAUGAAUUUUUUGGAAUCUUAUAGCUUUAGGGAGAACAAAAGUUUAAAGGGUCUUGUAAAGUGCUAUCUAUGUGGUGGUGUUGGUCACAUUAAUGUGGAAUGUGCAAAUAACCACAUGACAGAGUCUAAUGGGAGAGAAGAGUCAAUUAGUGCACAAUGGAGUGAUAAUGAUAGUGAUGAUUCCAAUAACUAUAUCACUUCAUCUUAUGAAGAGGCAAAUAAUUUUGCCUUUAUUGGUUCUGUUCAUAACUCUAGCCUUGCUAGCGUUCAUGUAGUUAAGGAAGGAAAAUCUGAUUCAGGAAAUGAAUCUGUGUCUGGAGAUGAUAGGCAGGAUGACCAGUCGUACAGGGAACAUGAUGACCAGUCAUACAAGGAACAUGAUGACCAAUCAUACUUGGGUAUGUGUGAAAAGUAUGAUGUCCUUUUUACUGAAACUUCCAAGCUUAAGGAAAGAAAUCUCUUACGUGAAGGGAAGGUAAAGAACCUGAAAAUUCUUAAUUACACUUUUAAAGAAGCAAAUAAUGAAUUGAGUGAAAAUGUUGAGACCUUGGAGAGUGAAAGGGAUUCAUUGAUUGUCAUUAAAAAUGACAUUUCAAACCAAGUGAAUGUGCUCAAGGAAAACAACCUGAUUUUCCAAGCCUUCAACAAGAACUUGUUGACUCAGAUAAAUGAGGCAAAUGACGCGAUGAUCAAGCUUACCAUAGGGGCUAAAAAAGUGGAUAAAAUGUUGAAUAUGGGUAAGGUUCAUGGAGACAAAACUGGUUUUGGUUAUGGUUAUUCUAGUUUAUGUGUUCCUCCUCCUUUGACCACAUUUGUCAAGGAGUCAAAUACAAAGUUUGAUGUUUUAGAGCCAACUAGGACUCAAAGAUUCAUUCCUACUUGUCACCAUUGUGGUGUGAAAGGUCACAUUCGACCUAGGUGUAAUGCUCUAAAGAAUGUGUCUAGAGCAACCAAUGCAAAUGGCUUUAAGAACCAUAUUUCAUCUCUUAAAACAUGUGAGCUUGCAAAAUCUGUUCUUUGUAAAAGGGAUAAACAUUCUUCACUUUUCCCAAAACCAAAAAGGUUCAUUCCUACUUGCCAUCAUUGUGGCACAUUAGGACACAUAAGACCAAAGUGGUUUGAACUUAGGAAUUUUGAGAAAAAGUCUUUUGUUCAUUUCAAGAAAGUAAAUGAUGACUCACUUCAAACUCAAGUGAAUGAUCUUCUUUAUAAAGUUGUCAAAAUUCCUAAGGUGAUCUCUUUGCCUCAUAAAGUCUCAAAAGUGAAGCAAGUUUGGAUCAAGAAGGAAGACCAUGCUCUUCCUCAUGUUGGUGACUAGUUUAUUUAUUUUAUGUAUCUAGACCAUUCUCUUGUUUGUGUGUGCUUCAUGGAGUCUAGAUACAUUGUCAUGCAUUUGAACCUUGUUCUUUUGUUUUAUUAGGAUUCAUUUGUUUUAUUAUUUUUAAAUGUGGUCAUUGCAUGCAUGUCUUUCAAUCAUCUCUCUCACAGUGCUUUGAAUCUGGGGUGAUCAACAAAAUUUCAUGUUCUUUUGAACUUGUUCACAUUUAUCUUGUUGGUCUUGUCCAAACAUUUUCCCUUGGUGGCAAAGAAUACAUCCUAUCCAUUGUAGAUGACUUCUUUGGGUUUAUUUAGGUCUCACUCUUGCUUGAAAAAUCAGAAACCUUUCAAAGGUUUAAAUCUAUCUACCAUCUUUUAUAAAAAGUUAAGAUGACUAGUCAUCUGCCUCUUGUUAGAAUUAGAACAGAUCAUGGUUCUGAGUUUGAGAAUUCUCAACUUCUGAAAUUUUGCGAGUUGAUGAGAAUUAAGCAUGAGUUCUCUGCACCUAUUACACCUCAGCAAAAUGGUGUUGUGGAAUGAAAAAAAAAAAUAGAGUUCUUGUUGAGAUGGGUAGGGUGAUGCUCAAUGGCAAAAAUUUUGCUAAACAUUUUUUGGGCUUACAUCUCAAACAUGGUGUUUUUGAGGUAUGGUGCCAAACAAACUCCCUAUGUGCUUUGGAAAGGUAAGAAACCGAAUGUGUCUUAUUUUAGAGUCUUUGGUAGCACAUGUUUUAUCUUAAGAGAUUGGGAACACCUUGCUAAGUUUGACUCUAAAAGUGACAAAGGAAUUUUUCUUGGGAAUUCCACUUUAAGCCGAGCCUAUAGAGUAUACAAUUAUAGGACCGGAACCAUCAUGUCAAUAUUGAUGACUUUGCUGCCUCUUCUGAGAUGGCAUUAGAUGAGGAUGGUCUUUUAUUUUCUAUGCUUGAGGAAGAAUCUCCAUGUCUGGAUCUAGUGGUUGACCUGUCAAUCUUUAGCAAAUCAGUUGACCAGUCAACUCUUGACAAUUAUGUUCCAGUUGACCUGUCAACUUGUCAUAAUCAACCUCAGAAUCUCAGCUCAUCUGUCCCUGUUGAAAACUCUCUAUAGAAGCAAGAUAAGAAGCCUUCUCUACUUGACUGCAAGUAGACCUGACAUUUCCUAUAGUGUAGGAGUUUUGUGCUAGGUUCCAAAGUGAUCCCAAAGAGUCUCAUUUGUUUGCUGUCAAAAGAAUCAUAAAAUAUGUGAGUAGAACUUUUGAGUUUGGGUUGUGGUAUACUUAUGACACUUGUGUCAAUCUUGUUGAGUAUAGUGAUGCCGAUUGGGCAGGUUGUAGUAAUGGUAGGAAAAGCACUUCCGGGAGGGUCUUUUAUGUAGGCAACAACCUUGUUGCUUGGCAUAGCAAAAAAUAGAAAUCUAUCUCUUUAUUCAUUGCUGAAGCAGAGUAUGUUAUAGCUGGGAGUUGCUGCACUCAACUCUUUUGGAUGAGACAAAUGUUGGAAGACUAUGGUCUUGCUCAAUCAUGCUUUCUAAUCUAUUGUGACAACAUGAGUGCUAUAGAUAUUUCUAAAAAUCUUGUUCAACACUCUAGGACUAAGCAUAUAGACAUUAGACACCAUUUUAUUAGAGAUCUUGUGGAAGACAAAAUUCUAUCUUUGGAAUUUGUUCCCUCUGAGAAACAGCUAGCAGAUAUACUCACCAAGGCCUUGGACUUUCAGAAACAUGUCAUACUUAGGUAGUCCAUUGGCCUUUGCUCAAUUGAUUGAUUAGCUUGUCUGUUCCUUAUCUUCAGCAUAUUGCAGAACUGUUGACUAGUCAUCUUCGUUUUAGUUGACUAGUCAAAUAUAAAUUUUUGUUUACUUGGUGUGUAAAUGUUCAAAACAUCUAUUUCUUCUGAUCUCUGAUGGUGCAAAGUUUGAAUCAUUUUAUGCUUUGCCUGAUUUGUGCAUAAUUCCCCCCUUCUAGUUUGGAGUCAUUAGAUGAAAUUUUUUGGUGUUGUUACGUCCUCUUAGUGAGACAAGUGUUGUGAUCCAUUGUGGACAAUCAUUGUUAUAAUCUCCUAUCUUAUCUCACUCUCUCAAGCAAGUGUGACCAAUGUAGUCACGACUCUAGGAAGGUAUAAGGUGAUUGAAGAAUCUAGAGCAAGAGCCACAAAAUUGGGCCACUCAAGCACUUAAGUCUGGGAUGUGCAAAUAACAAACAUAAUAAAUGGCCAGAUUGAGUGAUGAAAAUCAAAUUGGUUGAGUCUAUGCUUUGAGUUUGUCUUGAAGGUUCAUUAUAUACUUGUCUCUCCAAGAGUGAUAUUUCUUCAUCUCUUGUGUUUUUCUUUUGGCUCUGAACCUCCUCUGUCCAUCUUGCCGUAUCUCUGAGCAUGAAAUCUAAUUCAUAUUCUAUCUAUCAGAGUUAGUUGCAAUUGUUAUGUUUGCACAUGUGGUUAUCUUCUCUCUCUCUUACUUACUGUGCUUGAAGAUUUGGACUAGGCUAUAGUAGCUAAUAUAUCAUUGAUCACUUGAUAUAUUUUCUAGUUCAUGUUUGUGUUUUUAAAGCCAAAAUCAUGUCUUCUUCAAGGUCGAUGCUAAAAUUGCUGCUUGUUAUGAUAUUGCUUGAGUUCACUAGUCAACAUAUGCUCAUGCUGAUUGUGGUUGACUAGUCGUCUGCUUAAUAGGGAUCUUGUGCCUUUUGAUGAAAUUAAUUUUCACUCUCUAAGAACCAAGACCAUUGGUUAUGACACAAAGCACAAAGGCUCACUUGUCUUCUCCUUGUCUCAUUUACACCUUCUGUUUCAAUAUUGGUACUGUGUUUAUGUGUGGUCGUGUUUGGAUGAUGCCACUUUGGUCUAUGACCCUAUCUUAAUAAGUUGUGUUACCACAUUCAAUGAUUUAGCCUAACAUAAUUCUUGAAAUCCUUACGAGUCUGUUGUGCUAUAUAAGUUUAGGAUUGUUGGCUAAUUUAUUUUGUUGGGGAGUUUCUUUGAGAUGCAUAUGUUUUGGCAACAUUCUUGCUGGUUGUUUUUAUCAUUUUCAUACAUCAAUGUUGCCUUCCUAAGCCUUAUCUCGAUUGAUUUGCUCUCUUUUGUUCUUGGCUGUGUCUAUGAGGUUGUUGGUCUUUUGAUGCCACCUCAAAUUUAGACAUGCGUGACUAGUACAUUUCAUAGUCCACUCUCUUCUCCUUGUGCUUUUUGGAAGCUAUGUUGUGUUUUUUGGACAACCUAGAGACUUAUUUCUUGUAUUCUUUCUCACAUGUCCUCAAUUUUGAGGAAAAAAUUAGGGUUCAUCUUGCAUGGUGCUUUCUUCAAAUUUGACAUUGAUUGACGCCUUAAAUUUUAAAAUCUUGGUGCUUUGUCUUGAUUUUGCACUAUGGUGUGUGAAGAAAAAUUCAUUGGUUGUCCCUUGUUUUGAUAAAUAUGUUGCUUAAACUCUGUCUUUUUAGGGGAGUUUCUUUAUGUGUAAUGUGUACACAUUGAAAUUAAAUUCAGCCACUUGAUUUUAAUUGCUUUAGGUAUGAUUCCUUGCAACUUGUGCUCCAUUUCUUAUUCUUUUUAGCCUGAUGCAAUUUUGUGUUUGUUGGCUAUUUGCUGAAUUAGUACGUCAAAGGUUAAUUCCUUUAUGCUAUAUGAUACUGAGGGGGAGUAUGUUUUCUAAAGGGGCGUUUUGCUUUAGGGGGAGUUUCUAUUUGUGUAGUGGUUUUAAUGUUGUACCCUCUAUAGGUUGAUAGGGGGAGUUGUCUUGUUGUGUUUUUGAACAAAUGUUGUUUUACUUUGUAAUCAAAUAUGUCAUGUGCAUAUUGUUAAAAUCUGAUUAUGUGACUUAUGUUUAAUUCACUUGAUUACUGUUUCUCUAUAUUUGCCUUUUUGCUCUUUCCUUAUCAACAUGGGGGAGAACACUCUCAACCCUAUAUUGCAUAUAUUGCAUAUUGCUUCAACUUUAUGUGAUAUAAUAUGCUUGUCUUGUGCUUGGGAGUUUGGUUGUUGUUUUGCAGGUACUUCAUGUCAUCAUCUCCUUAGGUUUGGUUCAAGAAAAUUGACAAAGGUAAAUUGUGCAUUGCAUAACAUUGCAUUAAACUGUUUUCAUAAAAUGAUGACUAGUCAUCUGUUUCUUGUAUGACUAGUCAUCCUUAUUCUGUAGGAUUUCCAACUGGAUAACCAACUUUUUUGUCCUAUUCUCUUUUCUCUCUCUACUGCCAUGUGUGAUUCUGACCUAAGGGAAUUUUUGUCUAUAAAGGCUAAGGAAUUCCUCUUUGGGCAGUUGUCUCUUUUGGGUGGAAGUUUUGGAAAGUUUGGCUUGCCAUCUUUCGCUUCUUCUUCCUCAAGAGAGAACCAUCUUAUUUUCAUCUUUGAGUUUUUCCAAAUUGAUUUCUUUUUGAAAAACUGCAUUUGAUAUACUAAUAUGCAUCUAGCUACUUAAGACACUGUCUCAUUUAUAUCUAGGUCAGAUUCAAGAUUGAUUUCUUCAAGAUUGAUUUCUUCAAGAGUAUGGUUUCUUGAAGAAAUUGGUCAUUCUCAUUUGAAUCCAAAUUUUGGUUUCUGUUUGAGUUAGAGCUUGCAAGCUAGUGCCAUGGGAUAAACGAGCUGGAGAAGGAGCUACCACUACCAUGAAGAACUGAGCUUCAAGCUUUGCUAAGUUGGAGAAGAAGAUUGCACAAAUGAGGUAUAGCUCAUCUUCCUAAAUAGAUCUAGGUUUUUCUUGAGCUUGCUUGUGCUCUUUUGUAAAAAUCUUUUUCUACUUAGUGGAUUGCCUGGUCGGUUGAUGACCCCCAGUUUUUCCCAAUGGUGGGUUUCUGGGUGAACAAUUUCUAUUUGCAUCUCUAUAAAUUCUGGGUUUGUAUUCUUGGUGGUUGACUAGUCAUCGUAUGAAUUCCGGGUUUGUGUUCUUGGUGGUUGACUAGUCAUCGUAUGAAUUGUGGUUGACUACUCAUCAUAUGAAUUCUGGGUUUGUGUUCUUAGUGGUUGACUAGUCAUCGUAUGAAUUCUGGGUCUGUAUCCUUGUAGUUGACUAGUCAUCAUUAUCUGCUGUUUGGUGUUUGCUUGAUUAUGUUGUCUUCACACACUUUCACCAUAGUUGUAGCUAGCACAGGGGAUGCCUAAAUUGACGGGUCCUUCUGAGUGUCUAGGUUGUCACUAGUAAUUCUCUAGGCUUGCAAGUACAUCUUGGUAUGCUCUGUGUAUGUUAUUAUUUGGUAUAAUUCAUAUCUGACAGUUGACUAGUCAUAAGAGUAUUUGGUCAAGGUCUAGAGUGUGUGAAGUUUGUUGCGUUCUUGGUUGAAUAUCUUUUAAGUUUACCCCUUGUCACCUAAGUACCAAUUUCAAUUGGUAUCAGAGCACCAGCUCUUAACAUAAAUAGAGAGAUCCUUUGGGUGCUAAUUGGUAUUAGGUGUGCAAACAUAAAAAUGGAUCAAAUUGCUCCUUGCAUUCAUGAUGAGCUUGCCUUGUUUGUUAAGAAUUAUAGAAGGGUUGUCGAAGAUAAAACCAAAGUCACUAGCAAUUCUCAUAAUCUUCCUAGUUCGUCAACAUAUGUGUCUCAAGACAAUGUUUUUAAGGAGAUGAAUUUUUUGGACUCUUAUGACUUUAGGGAGAACAAAAGUUUGAAAGGUCUUGUAAAGUGCUAUCUAUGUGGUGGUGUUGGUCACAUUGAUGUGGAAUGUACAAAUAACCAUAUGACAGAGUCUAAUGGGAGAGGAGUCAAUUAGUGCACAAUGGAGUGAUAAUGAUAGUGAUGAUUCCAAUAACUAUAUCACUUCAUCUUAUGAAGAGGCAAAUAAUUUUGCCCUUGUUGGUUCUGUUCAUAACUCUAGCCUUGCUAGAGUUCAUGUAGUUAUGGAAGGAAAAUCUGAUUCAGGAAAUGAAUCUGUGUCUGGAGAUGAUAGGCAGGAUGACCAGUCAUGCAGAGAACAUGAUGACCAGUCAUACAAGGAACAGGAUGACCAGUCAUACUUGGGUAUGUGUGAAAAGUAUGAUGUCCUUUUUACUGAAACUUCCAAGCUUAAGGAAAGAAAUCUCUUACUUGAAGUGAAGGUAAAGAACCUGGAAAUUCUUAAUUGCACUUUUAAAGAAGCAAAUAAUGAAUUGAGUGAAAAUCUGUCAUGAUGGUCAGUUUGCUUUUCCUGAUGAACAACUCCCUUGCUCCCUACUUAUCUCUUGAAAACGUGGCAUGCUUAUCUCUUGGAAAGGCAACCUUCUGUUUGGGCCUAAAUUGGCAUGCCCCGCCCAAAAUUGAAAAGCCCAUGUCAAAAUUUUGGCAGCCACCAAAGUUUAUCUUGAGUUUGGGCCAAUUCUCGGCACGCCCAGCUUGUUUUUUUAAAAGGGCUAGAAAACAUAAACAUUUGGGCUUUUUAUCUACAAAGGAUUAAAAGGAACCAACACAGCCUUUUUCACACCAUGUGAUCUCUACCCCAAAAAAAGACAAGUCAGUAGAUCUUUUCUCUAAGAACCCACGUGACUACCUGACUUUGAAAAGUCAAAAAUUUCAGCUAUCAUAGGAGAGUUGACAGGGAGUUAAUGAAGGCAAGUAUAAAAAGAAUACAUCUCUAAAUCUUUUUUCAACUAAUAUUUUCAGCCAAAAGAUCAAAAUCCCUUUAUAUAUAUAUAUAUACAGAAAAAUUCUGCACCAGAGCAGGUGUCAUUUCCAAGGGAUAAGCUGACUACAUUUUCUAAAAAGACAAGUAGGGAGCAGAGAGUUGUUCAUCAGGAAAAUCAAACUAACCAUCAUGGUAGACUGCAUUCUUACCAAGGGCAGUUAAAAGAUUAAAAAGGGAUUAGGUUUUCUUUCAGGAAAAGCAGGGAAGUAAUCACCAUAAAGAACUAUCUGUUGAUGGCUUUAUUUGCCAGAAUAGAUAAAAUUCCAUUUUUCUUGGCAUUUAAAAUAAAAAGAUCUUCCUUUUUGAAAAUCUGCCACCCAUUAUUAAAAGAUUAGAAGCCCCACUCCAACAUUUUCUAUAAGUAUGAGAGGAGGUGAACAGAUAAAAAGACAGCAAAAAAAAAAAUCAAUCAAGACAAAAACUGUCAAAGUCACAAUUGACAAACUGAAAAAGAUCCAUUGAUCUCAAAAGCCUUCAAACACUGAAGCAACCAAAGCUCAUUGAACCACAAGAAACAAGUUAGCUAGAAUUCAAAAUCUCCGAUUUCAGUUCAGUUCAGAGAAACAGUUAUACAAAGCGAGAUUUCUCUCGUUACAAAUUUGGUUAAGCAUAAGCCAAAUCAAGCAGAGUCCGGGUUUUUACAAAUAUGAAAACCUCAAAAAAAUUGUGGAAAGCCCUGAUCAAGCAGAACAAGUAAUGUAACAACCCGAUCCGAAAUUAAUUUUUAAUUAUUAAUUUAUUAUGGAAAAAGACUAUUUUCCCCCUAGAAUAUUUUAUUAAGUCUAAAGUUGACUUUUGACCGGGAAGGAAUUUGGAAAUUUCGAUUGUACUGUUGUGUAAAUCACGUUGAAACGAGUCCGUAGACACAUAGUGAGCUCAAAUUCGAGUUGUAACAAGGAAAAUACAAUCAAAAUUCAAGUAGGGGCAAAAACAUAAUUUUUGAAAACUGGAUUUUAAAAUCAGAAAUCUCUCUUCUCUCUCCUUCGUGCAUCUUCUUCUCUCUCUCUCUCCCCGACAUUUUCUCCCUCUCUCUCUUUGAAACUUCGGCCACCGUCCACGGCCAGCCAUGAGACCGGUGCCAAAACAACCGGCCUGGUCCCCCCAUCGAACCCCAACCUCCCUCCGUCACUAGCCAUUGUCUCAGCCACCGGAAAACCAUGAAAACAUGCCGGUUUUCGCACGAAAUUUCAAUCGGUCAUUCUCCGUCCUCCGGCCACCAUUUUCAGUGAUCAAGGUAUGAAAUCUCAUCUACUCUUCGAGCUCUAGCUGCCUGUGGGGUAGGAAUUGGUUGAUUUGGCAUGUAGGAAAACGAUUUUGGAACUUGGUUUUGGGCCGAUUUCGGGUUGAAAUUCUGGCUACUUUCGGCCAUUUUUCGGGGUAGGUCUAAGAACAAAAGUGGCUUCAAUCGAUGUCCUGAACCUAGGGUAGGAGCCUUGGCCCGUAAUUUUGAGAUUUUCCGGUGAGUGUUAUUGCUUUGGGCACCCACGCGCUGCCGGCACGUGCGGCGGUGCGUGGGCAAAGCGGUGACGCCCCAUUUCAUCCUGAUGUGAUCCUUGUGUUGUCACGAGUGCGUAGGUGUGCUCGGAUUCCAAUUCGGAUGUCGUUUGAGUCUCUAACGGAUUUCGCCUAUUGCGCAUUAUCCGGGUUCGAUGGGUUCAAACUGUUGGAUCGACUUGAAUUUAAUAUAUGUUGAUCUAGGUAUUCCUAGGAUCGUAUAGGAUUUCGCGGAUCAUGAAUCAGAGUCCCGGAUCAAUAAUUCAAAGUUUAAUUAAAUUAUAACCGUCUGAUCGCAUGAUUGUGAUCAAUCUGACUGUCCAAUUCGGACCAAACUUGCAGAACAUCGUUAUUAAAAUAUGUGGAACCUAUAGGAACUCUCGGAUCGAUAAAUGAAGGUCGUGAACUCCACGGGGUCUCGGGUUGACCAAUAUGGAAGUUUAUCACUUAGUGAGUCUCGGGUCUUUUUAGACAAUUCUAACUGUCCGAAAUGUUUAAGUGGGCAUAGGAAUAAUCUUAAAUUGGGUACACGCACUUUUAGAAGCCAGGUAUCAGGGUUUUGGAAUUAAAUGAUUAUGUUGAGUAUUUAUAUUAAUUAAAUAUUUAUUAUGGCAUAAAUAGGUACUCAGGCACCAGUUGACCCGCAGAAGGGACCUUCGAAAGGUCCAGCUAGCUCGGACGCUCAGUGAGCGGACUUUUGUUUUCUAAAUGAUUUUAUGCAAAUGAAUUUCAUUGUUUGAUCUUGAAUAAGUUAUUAUUUGUUUAUGGCUUUCCAAGCAUGAUUGGUUGAUUGUGAAUAUUUUUGUUAUUUUUUGUUUAUAUGUAAGUUGAGCAUGACUUGGAAAGUAGGAAAUGAGGUGAUUACUAGAUUGAUUGAUUUGAUGGGAAGUAAAAUUAUAGUUUCCAAGAAUGGCAACAAGAUUCAAGAAUAGAAUGAAGAAUAGUUUUAUAAUCAUUUUUAUAAUCUUUAAUCUUUUUUUUUUUUGAGAAUAUAUUUAUUUUAAAAACCACCUUAUGUACCCAAGGUUGCCUCGGAAUAAAAGUUGCCUCUGAAUAAAUAUUGCCUUCGGAAUAAAAUUGUUGCCUUCGAUAUAGUCAGCGCGCUUGACAUUUGCCUCAUGAGCUUCAGGGAUGCCCGGACCGUGGGAGUGAGGAAUGCGGAUCAGGUUGACUAAAGGUCUCCCAAAUCUUGCUAGGGUUGCGGCUCGGGUUGACCUUGUAUUACCGAGACCUGCUAGGACGUGUCACGAGGAAUUAAUGGAAAAUAAAGGAAUUGACGGAUAUAAAUCCAUACACCUAGGUGGGAGGAAAUUAUUAUUUUUCAAUGGUUUCAAUUGUUUUCAUGAUUUGAUUGGAUGCAUGAUCGAUAAUAUAUAUAUAUAUAUAAAUACGCAUGUUGAUUUCAGUACGAAUAUAGAACAUUGAGAUAAUAGAGUUUUCUAACUGUUUUUACGGAGGGCUUAGUAUGUUCGUAUGCUAUUUUCUAAACUUUUAUUUUUUCUCCACUCACAUGUUUUUCAAUGUUUUGCGCCCCCAAGUAAUAGUCGUGUACCAGAGUGUCACCAUAGGGCUGUCACUUCUUCUCAUCCAUCUAUUUUGCUACGUAGGAUCUCUUUGUUAUCAUAUUAUCCCUUUGUAAAUUCUAAACUAGCAGCUCUGAUAUUGCCCUAGGUUUUCUGUAUGGCCUAAGGCCGUUUAGUUUAGUUGAAUUAUUUAGAUGUAAAUUGAAAGCAUGCUGGUAGUUGGGUUAUUUAUUUAUUUAUGCUUUUGACAGGUUGAAAUGUUGGGAAAUGAUCAAAUUACAGGAGAGGUUCUGUCGAAUUUUCAGUAGAGGUCGAACUUGUAAUAAACCUGAAUUUAAACUAGAAGGGCAAUUUAGUCAUUGUGCCCGGCGCCCGCCAAGUGUUAGACACGCACAGGGUUCAGCUCGGAUUCCAAAGUGAAAUUUAGGUCGGGUCCUUUCAGGUACUACAGUGUAGUUCCAGCUCAGUAAUCAUCAAAUCCAGCCACUUCUACCCCUUCCAGACUGAAGAGACUCCAAUUCUGCCUAUUCAAAAAGCCUUCCAGGGCUUGAAAUAGCCAAACUCGAUCGUUGGUAUCGAUUUAUAGCUGAAACUUGACAGUUGAAGGUGUUGAUGGUCCAAUCCAGCACAGAUAUACCCAGUCCAGUCUAGAUCAAAAGCAGCUAUCCAGGCCGAAAUUGAAGUCCAAUGCUUUUUUUCUUUUUUUUUUCAGAGUUGGUCUUUCCUUUUCUGAGCUUUGUAAAAGGAAAUUUUGCCUAAAACAGUUCACUUGUUUAUCAUUUAUUCUGGCCAGAACUACCAGUUUUUGUACUAUGAAAAAUUAUGAAGUUCUCACCUGUCUGAGGCAAGAAAAGAACUUCCUUGGGAAAUAUUCCUCACCCAAAUUCACAAUCGUUUGUUUAGAAAUCAAUAACUUGGGGCGCAUGUUAUCUAUUUUUAAGAAGUCUGCUAGGGUUUUCAUUGCUAGCAGUGGCACGCUCAUGCACAAAAGAAAGUUGACUAGUUGACCACCAAUGGUUUUCAAGCCAAUGGGGAACCUUCCCCUACCAUCACAGGAUCAGAAUCAAAAUAGGUGAACACCUUCCUUGGUGCAGAGCUUCCCUGUAUGUAAUAAAAGAGAUUUGAUCUUCUUUCUUUGGCUGCAAAAAUGGAGAAGUCUUCCAGUAAGACCUGCCUUCAUUAACUCCCUAUUAACUCCUCUGUGAUAAUUGAAAAUUUUGACUUUUCAAAGUCAGGAAGUCGCGUGGGCCUUUUUGAGAAAACAUUUUUUUGUGAGAAAAAGAUCUGCUGACUUGCUUUUUUUGGAGUUGAGAUCAAGUGGUGAGAAUUUUUCAGAAGAGCCUUAGGUAGGCACCACACCGGUGUCCGAAGCUUGACGAUUGCUUCUUCCACUUUGUCGUCUGCAGGUUCUUUCCUUUCCGAAUAUCCUCACCUUCCCCCUUGCUAAAGACACACCAUAUUACUCUAAGUUGACCCUCUCCGAAGAAGAGCCUCAACACCUAUAGUUGCACAUUUAGACUUCAGUGGCAUAUCCUGUGCUGUAAAUUCUACCUCUGUUUGUUCGUGGCAGCUUCUUCUCCUAGAGUGGCACUUUCUACAUUGGCGAAGGAUGUGAAUAUUGAUCUUUCAUAAAAAACAAUUUGACAGAAAACAAGAAAUAGACAAAUACAUAGAAUUGAAAAAACAAAUAAAUAUUCAAACAAAAAAAAUAAAGUAAUUUUAUUUUAUUUGUUUUUUAUUAACAGAAGGAAGGAUGCAAACUAAGAACCUCUCUUAAGUUGAAAUUAGUGUCGGCCCUGAACAGGGGCAGUCAGUGCAACUACUCUGGGUCCACUGUCCAGGGGGUCCAAAUUUUUUUAAAUUUUAAUUUUAUAAAGAGGUAUAUUAUAUUUAUUAUAUAUUCUUUUAAUAUUUAAAAAAAAAAAAAGUAACAUGGGCUAUUUUUUAACUCUUUUAAGCUCUAAUUGAUUGCAAAUUUGGAAGUUUUAAGUUUGUUGUUGUGGAGGGGGAUUUCUCAAAUUCCAAGUUAUGUUGUUCUUUAUUUAUUAUUUGAAGUAUUAAAAUUUCAUUGGAUUUCCUUGUACUGUUUCUGAUUUCAAGUAGCAAUGAUUCCUUAAAAAACAAGAAUUUGAAAGUCAAAAAAGAAAAAGAAAUGAUUGAAUUGUUAAUUACAAAUAUUUAUCUUGUUUCGGCAUUAGAUUUGAAUGUAUGAAGUGUAACCUCUUAUUUUAGAUUUUUAUAUAUUGAUGUUUGAAUUUAUAUAAUUUAUAUAUUUAUCUUAAAUGUUAAAUUUUUAGUUAAUUCGAAUAAGUUAAAUCUUGAUUGAAAAAUGAGAUUGAGUCUGGCAAGGCAAAGGCAUUGUUUUCGGCUGGAUUGGCUCCACAUUGGUUAUGGCCUACAAUUGGGUUGAAUAGAGAGGAAAUUUAGUUUUUUUGCAGGAGGUGCGUGAUACUCUUUUUUCUUGACCGGAUUUUCCUCCACAGGGGUUUUCAUGGCAAGGUUUUAACAAGGCUACCCGAGAUGCAUCUCCUUUCUCCAUAUUUUUUGGGGUCCUUUUGUAUCUCAUAUUGAGUGUUACUUAAAGUAAUAAAGAUUUUUCAUUUGAUAAAAAAAUAAAAUAAAAUAAAAUUCAACUCAUAUAAAUGUUGAUAAUUAUAUUCAUGAUUAGUUCGAUAUCCAAUUAUAGCUAGCCGAUGAAAUUAAAGUAUUGUGUAAAUAUGUUGUCGUUUGUGAAAAAGAAAUACAAAAUAAUCACGUUAAGCCUUGAACAUAUCCGUCACAAUAAUCAAUUUUGUCGGAAUGGAGAUAGACCUAGUAGAUGGACAUAUUGGUAUCCUUAAUUUAAGAAGAAAAAAAAUGUAAUAGUAGAUAAAUUGAUAUAUAUGGAGCCAAAGUAAUUGAAGGUAGUUUUGCAGCCAAAUUAAUUUAGCCAAACGACGACUUCCAAAUUUCAUGAUGCUGGUCUGUGGAAAAUUGAGACUCAUUAAAGAUUACUUGAAUGUCUUGGAGUCUGCAAAGAUAGAAGACCAAAAAGACUUGAAUCUGCACCACUUGUCUUUGAGGAAGAAAAGUCCAAUAAGAAGGUUACAUACGUAUGCAAGAUAACCAAUAAAAUGUCACAUGGGAUAUGUAUAAAUUUUGAUUUAUUUUUAUUUUUUAUACAAAUGAUAUUAGUGGCAAUUUUUUUCUUCACGUCCUGUGGAAAAGAAAAUGUAUAUCCCUGAGUGUUGAAAAUUCUAGCUCUGCUUGUUCGUGGCAAUUUAAGGGGAUCUAAUAAAACACAUUUCAAUGGCCUUAUAGUUCAGUACAGUUGCACAUUUAGACUUUAGUGGCAUAUCCUGCGCUGUAAAUUCUACCUCUAUUUGUUCGUGGCAGCUUCUUCAUGGGUUGUCCUCGGCCAACUACUAAAACGAAGGACAUAUAUCUUCAUAGAAAAAAUUAAUUUGGGAGUUUUGAAGUAAUAACUUGGUUUUUUUUGUUUUGGGUAAAUUACUCAAAUGGUCCUCAAACUUGUACUCGAUUUAUAUUUUAGUCCCUCAAUUAAAUUAUUAGUCCAAAUGGUACAUAAAUUCUACUUUAAUCUCCCAUUUGAUCCAACCUUUAAUUUUCCGUUAGAUUUAACCAAAUUUUAGGGUAAAUAUGACUUUUCAUAAUUAACAAAUAAAAUAGGGUUAAAACAAAUAAAAAAUUAUCAAAUAAUUGAAGAAAAAGAGAAAGAAAAAAAGAAGAAGAAAAAGAUCCAACCCACCCCUGCCCCCCUUCGAUUUCUUCUCCCCCAUUCCCACAGACCUCUCCAUAUGGGCAUAAAUCCCCAAAAUCCUCGCAGCAAUUUUGGUGUCUUGGAGGGUGAGAAAUUGACAGUGGCUGUGAUUUUGGGAGGUGGGGUUGGCGGGUGAUGAGGUGGGGAGGAGGGUGGUGGGUGGUUGUCUCUCAACAACAAAGGGAAAUCAAGGGGGAGGGGAAGAGGGUCUGGUUCGUUGUUGAAUUGGGGUUUUGGGUUCGUUGGGAGGGGUCUGUGGAAGAUUUUUAUUUUUAUUUUUCUCUGUAGUUGCUGGCUCGGUUGGAAGGUGGGGAGGAGUUGGGGUUCUGGGUUCCUGGGGCCUGGGGUGGAGCGUGGUUGUUGGAUGGGUUUAGGUGGAGAGUGGUUGGGGGUUGGAGCUUGAGGGUGGUGGCCAUGGGGGAAUGGAGAGAGAGACAGAGAGACAGAGAUACAGAGAGAAGGAACACAAUCUUCAAAACCUUCCCUUGUGGAACACAAUCGGCUUUAUUUCAACACUGGUACUGCACGUGGGAGUUUCAGAGCCUUUAUAUUACUGGAUGCAUAGACGUUUCCAUGGCAACUACUUUUUUGAAAACUAUCAUUCACUUCACCGUUCCUCUCCUCUCCAAUACCACUGCCCUUUACAGGUAAGAUCAAAUAUAUGAGCACAGACUUACAAAUUCUUUUUUUUUUCCCCUCUUUAGUUAUUUUGACUGAUUAAUUUAUCAAUUAUUUUUGUUAAUAUUUUUGUUCAGCUGGAAGUGCAACACUUCUGGAGCAUCUGGUUUUAAGUGCAAUUGUUGGAAUUCCAGUUCUUGGUACCACCCUGAUGGGUUGUGGAGAGAGAGAGAGAGAGAGAGAGAGAGAGAGAGAGAGAGAGAGAGAGAGAGAGAGAUUUUAUUUCAUUUUUCAAUAUUUAUUUAUUUUUAACACACGAAAUGACCAAUUUAUCCUCAUAUUUAACAGCAACAUUGACAGAAUGUAAUGGUAGGACCAAUAGAGCGAUUAAUAUGUAGUUAAUGUACCAUUUAGACUAAUAAUUUAAUUGAGGGACCAAAAUGUAAAUCGAGUACAAAUUUAAGGACCAUUUAAGUAAUUUACCAUUUUGUUUAUCUAUAUAUAUAAAGCAAAAGGCAGAGAAUGGUGAAACAUUCAAAAUACCAGAAAAUGCCCUUGGUUAAUGCAAAUAUUAAGAAUUCAAAUUAUUAAUUAAAUGAGGAUAAUAUAGUAAAUUCAUACUUUUUCAUAUUUAAAAAAAUUAAAAGAAAAAGAAAAAACAGAUAAUGUAUCCUUUUUUUAUGGAACACAACUACCCAUUAUCUUUUUUAAUUCUAAAAUAAAUUUACUUAUUUUUUUUAAAAAACCUCUCGCAAGCGCGAAAGCGCCUGCAGAGAGGCUAGUUAACAGAAAGAAGGAUGCAAAUUCGGAAACCUCUUUAGUUGAAAUAUACUUUUGGAAUGUGGAAGUAUAAGACAUUUAAGUGAUUUAUUUAGUUCUUUUGAUCUGAGUUAGGGCACUUAAUUAAGAUUAAGUAGUUUUUUUUUGGUUUAAAUAGUAUUUGGCUGAACUUAAUUGGGAACCAAGACCUUUAUAGACUCUACCCUCAUAGUCAGACGUGAGCGGAGUUUGGACAGGCUUUCGUCUAAAAAAUGAUUAGGAUAAAUGUUCAAAUGGUUAUUUAUAUGACUUAGUUUUUUAGAGAUCACUUUUGAAGUUUUAUAUCAUUGAAUUAAUGAUGAGUGGGCCACACAAUGAAUCCCUCAACUAUAUAUUUAAAGAAUCCAUCAACUGAAUCCUAUUAAAUGUAAAUAUUGCGUGAUAAACAUGUUAUAUAUACAGUAAAAAUUAUGUAACUAGAUAAAAAAUUUACGUUUGUUAACUACAAAUCUAUGCCAAAAACAAACUCAGCGAAAAAUCAACUUGAUAAGUUCAUAAGACUAGUUGUCUUGUCACUUGUCAUCGCAGCAGCCAUAGUCCUGCAAAAGAACAAAAAGUUAGGCCCGCACUAAGCCUAUAUAACUAUAAAGCCCAAGCUCAUCAAAUUCGAAGCACAGAAAACUAAGACAUUCCGAUGAUGAAGACCCUAGUAGCAGUCCUCAGCCUCAGCUUAACCCUCCUUUCAUUCGGAGGUAAACAAGCUUCUUAUUUUCUUUAAGUUUUUCAUUUUGGGCAAACGAUAGAAAUACUCAUUGAUCUUUUCUUAAAGUCGAAGCUUCUUAUUUUCUUUAAUUUUAAUUUAAUAUUUGUUCACAAUAAGUGUGGUUUGUGAUUACUGCAUCAAAUUAAGUGUGUUUUACUUUGCAUGGCAGGUGCACAUGCAGCGACAAUGUCUUUCAAAAACAAUUGCCCCUACACGGUCUGGCCAGCCUCCUUUGGAAAUCCUCAAUUAUCAACCACAGGGUUCGAGUUAGCAUCCCAAGCUAGCUUCCAGCUAGACACUCCGGUGCCAUGGAGCGGCCGCUUCUGGGCCCGAACUAGAUGCUCCACGGACGCCUCAGGAAAGUUCGUCUGCGAAACCGCAGACUGUGACUCUGGUCAGCUCAUGUGCAACGGUAAGACUGGCAUUCCGCCGGCAACUUUAGCGGAAUUCACUAUUGCAGCAGGCGGAGGACAAGAUUUCUACGAUGUUAGUCUUGUUGAUGGCUUCAACUUGCCCAUGUCUGUGACUCCACAAGGCGGUACUGGCACCUGCAAGAUGGGUAGUUGCGCGGCGAACGUGAACCUAGUUUGUCCGAGUGAGCUGCAAAAGAUAGGGUCCGAUGGGAGCGUGGUUGCCUGCUUGAGCGCAUGUGUUAAAUUCGGUGAGCCACAGUACUGUUGCACUCCGCCUCAAGAAAC